rnacentral:rRNA from 1 species
AACGAACGCUGGCGGCAUGCCUAACACAUGCAAGUCGAACGAGACCUUCGGGUCUAGUGGCGCACGGGUGCGUAACGCGUGGGAACCUGCCCUUAGGUUCGGAAUAACUCCCCGAAAGGGGUGCUAAUACCGGAUAAUGUCUUCGGACCAAAGAUUUAUCGCCUUUGGAUGGGCCCGCGUUGGAUUAGCUAGUUGGUAGGGUAAAAGCCUACCAAGGCGACGAUCCAUAGCUGGUCUGAGAGGAUGAUCAGCCACACUGGGACUGAGACACGGCCCAGACUCCUACGGGAGGCAGCAGUGGGGAAUAUUGGACAAUGGGCGAAAGCCUGAUCCAGCUAUGCCGCGUGAGUGAUGAAGGCCUUAGAGUUGUAAAGCUCUUUUAACCGGGAUGAUAAUGACAGUACCGGGAGAAUAAGCUCCGGCUAACUCCGUG